GUUGGGAGAGACCAGUGUCCUAAGUCCUGUGGGGACAUACUGAGUUUAUCCCGAAGCAGAAAGGAAGCAGUGCUGGGUUUUGAUAACGAGUAGGCAACUUUGUCCUGAACCCAAGACCUGAGACAGAGCUCUGAAAAUUUCCAAGGGCAUUGUCCAGAACAGUAAGCACCAAGUCCUUGCACUAUCAGACCCUCCCGGGACAGUCUUGCCAGCAGGCCUGGGCCACACCAGAGGCGGAAGAGGCGGGUCAUCAGCUGCUCACUUCUCUCCAGCCCUGGAAGCCAGAAGCUGGGGGCUGGAGAGAGGGAAGACACUCUAAACUGGAUGGAAACCUUUCAAAGGUUUGACAUGACAACUCACAGGAUUUUUUAAUUAUUAAAAUGAGACUGAUCUUGGGACUACAUGCGGCUGGAGGGCUUUCAGUUAUCUGGGAAUGAUGGACCAAAAAAAAAAACAAACCAACCAUACAACGACGGGACUUUCCUCAAUUCAUUCAGGACAAGUCAACAAAGAAGCGUAAAGGGAGUUACAGGGCAUGUUGUUGCUUCCUGCUUCUCUGAUUCUCCCUGUGUGCUAGAAGAUAUUUGCCUUUCAGAUGGGUUUUUCUGGCAUUGGUGAGGGGAGAUGAUCAACAGCAGGAGGGUGAGCUGAGAGACAAGCCGGGAAUGGCCUGGCAGGUUGCACUGAUCAUCCACACCACAGCGCUGCUCCGGAUUUUCCCAAGAGCACAGCCAACCCCGUUGCCUGGCCCCAAAGGCCUCUUGGAGUCAGGGAAGAGAGGUGCCCCGCAGAACUGCACAAUCUCUGGGGCAGAGGAAAGUACGCUACGUCUGGCAGGCCAUGAAGAAGCACAGGGGGCGUUACCCACUCACGGCUGCACAGCCUGCUUAGCCAGGCCUGCCCAGAAUCUUGUCACGAGUAAGCGUGUUGGUUUGGAUCAAUCACAGGAUGAGCCACUCUGACGGCCCUCUUCUUUCCGGGUACAUUUGCUGUUUCCUGCCCCCCACCCCUGCCCCAGACUUCCAGCUUGAGGUCGAUCAGGU
rnacentral:lncRNA from 1 species